rnacentral:tRNA from 1 species
UCCGAUAUGGUGUAGUGGCUAACAUUAUCGCCUCUCAGCUUGGAACGCGAUAGCCCGGGGUUCGAUUCCCCGUGUCGGAA